CACGUAGUUAGCCGGUGCUUAUUCUUCAGGUACCGUCAUUAGCGCUCUGUAUUAGAAAGCACCGUUUCUUCCCUGACAAAAGAGCUUUACAACCCGAAGGCCUUCUUCACUCACGCGGCAUUGCUGGAUCAGGCCUGCGCCCAUUGUCCAAAAUUCCCCACUGCUGCCUCCCGUAGGAGUCUGGACCGUGUCUCAGUUCCAGUGUGGCUGGUCGUCCUCUCAGACCAGCUACUGAUCGAUGCCUUGGUAGGUCUUUUACCCUACCAACUAGCUAAUCAGAUAUCGGCCGCUCCACGAGCAUGAGGCCGCCGAAGGCCGGGCCCCCAUUUCCAUCCGUAGAUCGUAUGCGGUAUUAGCGUUAACUUCGCUACGUUACUCCCCCACUCCAGGGUACUUCGAUAUAUUACUCACCGUUCGCCACUCGCCGCCAGGUUCGCCCCGCGCCUGCCGUUCGACUUGCAUGUGUAAGCAUCGCGCCAGCGUUCAAUCUGACGCCAGGUA
rnacentral:rRNA from 1 species